UCGGCGCGCUCCCGGCCGCUCGCUGGCUGUGGGGCCGCGGCGGCUCCUCUGCCGGGUCGCGCCGGAGGACGGGCCUUCGGGCGGCGGCUCGGGCGGCCUGCGGACGGACGCGCGGGCCGAGGCGCAGGCCCCGCGCCCGCCGUCUCCCCCUCCCGCCGGGCCCCGGGCCCGCGCCAUGGCCGCCUCGCCGGGCUCCGGCAGCGCCAACCCGCGGAAGUUCAGUGAGAAGAUCGCGCUGCACACGCAGCGGCAGGCCGAGGAGACGCGGGCCUUCGAGCAGCUCAUGACCGACCUCACCCUGUCGCGGGUCCAAUUUCAGAAGCUUCAGCAGCUCCGCCUUACGCAGUACCACGGAGGAUCCUUACCAAACGUGAGCCAGCUGCGGAGCAGCGUGCCAGAGUUCCAGCCGUCCCUGCACCAGGCUGAUAGCGCCCGGGGGACCCGCCACCAUGGGCUGGUGGAGAGGCCGGCCAGGACCCGCUUCCACGCGCUCCACCGACGGUCUGGGGACAAGCCGGGACGACAAUUUGAUGGUAGUACUUUCGGAGCCAGUUACUCCUCACAGCCUCUGGAUGAGAGUUGGCCAAGGCAGCAGCAUCCUUGGAAAGAAGAAAAGCACCCUGGGUUCAGGCUGACAUCUGCACUUAACAGGACCAAUUCUGAUUCCGCCCUUCACACGAGUGCCCUGAGCGCCAAGCCCCAGGACCCCUAUGGAGGAGGGGGCCAGUCGGCCUGGCCUGCCCCAUACAUGGGUUUCUGUGAUGGUGAGAACGACGUACACGGGGAAGUGCUAUCUUUCCCUGGCCCGCUGAAAGAAGAGAAUCUGCUAAAUGUUCCCAAGCCUCUGCCAAAACAGCUGUGGGAGGCCAAGGAGAUUCAGUCCCUGUCAGGGCGCCCUCGGUCCUGUGAUGUUGGAAGCGGCGGUGCUUUUCCACACAACGGCCAAAACAUAGGCCUCUCCCCCUUCCUGGGGACCCUGAAUACCGGGGGGUCGCUGCCAGACCUAACCAACCUCCACUAUUCCGCGCCCCUGCCGGCCUCACUGGACACCAGUGACCACAUCUUUGGUAGUAUGAGUGUGGGGAACAGUGUGGGCAACCUGCCAGCCGCCAUGACUCACCUGGGCAUAAGAAGCUCUUCCGGCCUCCAGAGCUCUCGGAGCAACCCCUCCAUCCAGGCCACGCUCAGCAAGACUGCACUUUCGUCCUCCCCGAACAGCCACCCACAGACACCCGCGCCCAGCGCCUCUGCCCUUCACCCCUCCCUCCGGCUCUUUUCCCUCAGCAACCCGUCUCUCUCCACCACGGCCCUGAGCGGCCCCUCUCGGCGGCGGCAGCCCCCGGUCAGCCCCCUCACGCUGUCCCCCGGCCCCGAAGCGCAUCAGGGUUUCAGCAGACAGCUGUCGGCCACCAGCCCGCUGAACCCCUAUCCCGCCGCCCAGAUGGUGUCCUCGGAUCGAAGCCCGCUCUCCUUCCUGCCCACAGACGCUCAAACCCAGGUGUCCCCGCCGCCCCCUUACCCCACCCCCCAGGAUCUCCCCCAGCCCCUCCUGCAGCAGCCCCAUGCCCAGGAGCCCCCCGCUCAGCAGCCGCAGGUGGCCUCAUCCCUGCCUCCUUCUGGCUUCCAGCUCCUCUCCGCCCAGGGUUCACCUGUGACCAACUUCUUCCCGGAUGUGAGCUUUGACCAGCAGUCCAUGAGGCCAGGCCCGGCCUUUCCUCAACAGGUGCCCCUGGUGGAACAAGGUCCGCGAGAACAGGACGCGUUUCACUUGAGACCAAACCUGUAUUCCAACUGCGGGAAUUUCCCAAACACCAUCCUGACAGAGGACUCGAGUACCAGCCUGUUCAAAGACCUCAGCAGUGCGCUGGCGGGCAUGCCCGAGGCCAGCCUGCACACGGACACUCCAUUUCCUCUGGAAGAAGAGCUCCACAUCGAACCCCUGAGCCUGGACGGACUCAACAUGCUAAGUGACUCCAGCAUGGGCCUGCUCGACCCCUCUGUUGAAGAGACGUUUCGGGCUGACCGACUGUGAACAGAACAGACCAGGACCAGAAUUCUUUUCUGAAGGCGCCGAAAUAGGACGGCACGGAAUGGAGCCAGCUACCCCCCCCCCCCCCCCCCCCCGCCCACCGGGCUUGAGUCAUCUCGGGCCUCUGACACGGCAGGAGCCAACGCCAUGACUCCUGGCUUUGCGACGAGGUCCCGUCUCCUACGCCGUGGCUUAUUCUAGACCAGAGAGCCAUGCACGGCCUCACCGGCCUACGGCGAGGGUUAUGCUCCGCAGGCCGGCUGACCUGACCGGGAGCCUCCCAACGACUCGGUCAUCACCGUGCCCGGUGCGUCUUUUUCUCGGCCCUCUAGUCGGUCCAUGUGUACAAGCAGAAAAGAACCCUGUGAUGGGGGCGGCAGUCGCCUGGUGCUGUGCCCAGAACCACUGAUGUCAGUCAACACUGAAGAUCGGGCCCGGAGCGGAGGCGGUUGGGGGCCACGGGCCUCCGGGAGCUGGCUCAGCCACGAGCAACGGUACCACAGCACCGCGAGGCCGCCUCUGCCCUCGUGCUUCCGGCCGGGCACCCGCCAGCUGGUGGCGGGCGGUCCCGGGGCACGGCAGACGGCCGUGAUCUCGGAGAUGCCUUAAUUCCAAUAUGAAGAAUUCUUCCCACGAUUUCAAGCACAGACCCGAGUUUCGCAAACUGAAUGCUCAUUUGUCUUCUCCAACCUCUGGACCGGGGUGGAGGCCGUGCUGGUUCCAACUGGAUCCUCUGACCGCCGAGUGCACCGAGAGGUCUGUCCAGUGACCAUUCAGCCGCGGACGCCAGACACUGCCCACCACACGUCCCUCACGGCCACCUGAACGAAAGAAAAAUACCAAGAGGCGGGAUUCAUUCUUUAAACAUGUUUCCACUGUAGAUGGCAUCUCUUGACAGCCGGUGAUUUGGGACGAGGAAAUGAGCUCACCCGCUUCCUAUCCCCUUCCCCUCCCAGAAGCUAGUCUGGCUUCCCUCUGGUCUAUGAGCAGCUUGAGGCGAGGACGGUGUCUGACUCAAUUCUGACAACCCGGUGCCCAGUUGAAUGGCACCCAAAGUCAUCCUUUCCAUCUGCAACCUCUCCAGGACAGCCGGUCUCAGUGGAGAGCCCAAGGCCUCUGCUUCCAGGACACAUCUGCAAAUUUGCACAAGAAGGUUCAAAAGCCCCACACUUUGGUAUCCACUGCCAGGGAAAACACUCAGAGCACAGCUGCCCUCACCUGGGAACAUUCGGACAACGGCCUCUUUUGAUAGGCUAAGGAAUGGAAACAGGGAGACGACCUGGAACCGGGGGGACCGGCCAGUCUGGCCAGGGUGCAGGGGUCAUCCUCAGCUCUUUCCCGGUUCCGGAGCCUCAGGACUCACCUCAGAGGAUGCUGAGUCUCCACCUGCUCAAAGCCGGGCCUCACUUCACAAACGACAACACAACCCAACGGCAGGCUGAGAGCCGCUUCUCAAAAAGAAAAUAGUUACUUGUGCAAAGACUGCAUGGCUCUGCUCCAAAACUUUAGGGCUUGCUGCCAGCCUCUGACCAUCUCGCUCAUGUCUUUAUUGCCUGCCGGGAGCCCCCCUCUGGAUGUAUUUAUUGCGUUCCCACCAUGCGCUACCAGCCGGUAGACAGAACAGCCUCAAAUCCUGCUGUUGUGGGGGUUUUGACACCACCGAGAUGGUGACCAAGGCAGAUCUCUACACCGGUCACCUAUUCCCAGCUCCCCGAAGCUCCGGAACAAUCAUCACGGACGUACCACCCAACCUGUACACGGUCCCAUGGUAUGGUAAUUGGCUUGAGCUGCCAUGACAAAAUACCAUAGACUCCGUUUUGUAAACAACAGGAAUUUAUUUCUCCCAGCUCCGGAGGCUGGAAGUUCAAGAUCAAGGUGCCAGCAAGAAAGGGAUCGGCUCACACAGAGGAUAUUGGACAGAGCACGAGCAUUCGGCCAGGACCUAGAGACACCUAGCACAGGAAUGAUGACGUACUGAUACCUACUACAUCCUACUCCGAGACAGAAGUUCCUUGUGGAUAACACCGAAUAUUCUGGAAGAACUUUGCAGUUAUCACUGGAUAUCUCAGAAAGCUUCCUGAAUCUUCUCAGCAAACAUAACACAAGACUAGCUCCCACUCCUCCUCCACCUGGUGCCCCCUUCGCAGUGCCAGCUCCAAGAUGACACCCUAACAGGUUGACAACCCCACCAGAAAAGGGACACCUGCGGUGCUCCCAGUACAUUCUACCAACCGACUGACUGGAACCACGGGCCCAUCCCUGAACCAAUCACGGAGGCCUAGACAGCGGGAGAUGCUGAUUGGCCAGGAGGAAGUCACGUGACCGCCUCUGGGGCUCCAGGCAUGAGAAGUCAUUCCCACAAUGGCCAGAGUCGCGUGGCCUGGAAGUCGGAAGGGUUGGCUCUCCGAAGGGAUAUCAAGAUGCGGCGAACAGACAGUCCUCCACGGGUGAAAACGACAGAUGUUUACCGCGGAAGCUGGAGACAGAAACUAGAAACCACUCUUUUGGGCAGCUAAAAGCCUGAAACAGAGAAACGGUAGGCAGAGAAAAAAGAACAAAACAUCCCUAGAUGCAGAGGGAGAAAAUAAAAGCCUCUCAUCGGUGCUCUGCCUUCACCUCUGAGGGGACACAACGUACCUUUUCCAGGCAUGGGGAGCCUCAACAGAUUUGCCACCGCAUGCAGUCUGUGCAGAUAAGAUCUUCACCGUGUCCACCAGGAGCACAGCCUACCGCACACGGAUACGGUGUGGAACAUUCCUUACACCUUUUGGCCCAGACAGCUUUGUUGAGCCUGGUGUCCAUGUGCACAUCUGGAGUUUCCAUCUCCCUCCUGGAAAAUCUCUGGAUCUCUUUGAGUACCCGAGGGGCACGCUUCUUGAACUCCACUCCAUGGAUGUGCUCGUGAAUGCUGAUGAUGUGUUCUCUGGUCAGUACCUUGGUGAUGGCAGAAUGGCGCGUCUCCUUCUCACCACCCUGCUAUGCAGGAGCCAUUCUGCUGGGCCCAGGGUUGGAAAGGAACUGUCCACGUUACUCUUCUCCUGAAAACCUUCUAUAGUAAGUUAAACAACAAGGAGAUACCAUUAAACACCCUGCAGAAUGGCUAAAAUGAAAAGGAUUGGCCAUUUCAAUGCUGAUGAAGAUACAGAUAAUGGGACACUUACACGGUGUUAGUGGUAGUAUAAAAUGAUACACCCGCUUUGGAAACAUGACUGUUUCUACCAAAGGUAAAUACACGCUUACCCCUAUGGCCCAGAAACCCUAUUCCUAGAUACUGUUUACCCCCAAAGAAGAAGUGAUGCAUACGAUCACAAAAGACUUAUGUAAAAACGUCCACAGCAGUUUUAUUUGUGAUAGCCAAAGGGAAAAAACUCAAAUGUCCAUCAUUAGAUGAAUGGAUAAAUAAAUUGUAGCAUGCUCAUACAAUUGCAUACUGUUGAUAAAAGAAUGGUUUUUAAAAUCAAGGAUAAUCAUGACUCUUAUAAAGACAUAAAAUAAACACAUGUCAAAGGUU